GUUUUAAGCAUUUCAUUCCAGUUAAAAUUGUCACAGUUGUGGGAAAUUAUGGGGGGAUCAGACAAUAUUUUGGUCAGACCAGAACUAUUUAAUGACACUGGACACUGAAAGUCGAAAAGUUGAAGCUUUAGAACUGUUAAAAUUGUCUGUGAGCAGGUAAAUCUCCUCCCUCCCCCAGGGCAGCUCCCACAGGCAGGGCCG